rnacentral:tRNA from 2 species
GGCCCCUUAGCUCAGUGGUUAGAGCAGGCGACUCAUAAUCGCUUGGUCGUUGGUUCAAAUCCAACAGGGGCCACCA